CCUACGGGAGGCAGCAGUGGGGAAUAUUGCACAAUGGGGGAAACCCUGAUGCAGCGACGCCGCGUGAGCGAUGAAGUAUUUCGGUAUGUAAAGCUCUAUCAGCGGGGAAGAAAAUGACGGUACCGGACUAAGAAGCCCCUGCUAACUACGUGCCAGCAGCCGCGGUAAUACGUAGGGGGCAAGCGUGAUCCGGAUUGACUGGGUGUAAAGGGAGCGUAGACGGUCCUGCAAGCCAGAUGUGAAAGCCCUGGGCUCAACCCCGGGACUGCAUUUGGAACUGUAAGGCUAGAGAGUAGGAGAGGCAGGCGGAACUCCAAGUGUAGCGGUGAAAUGCGUAGAUAUUAGGAGGAACACCAGUGGCGAAGGCGGCCUGCUGGACGAUGACUGACGCUGAGGCACGAAAGCGUGGGGAGCAAACAGGAUUAGAUACCCCGGUAGUC
rnacentral:rRNA from 1 species